ensembl:misc_RNA Metazoa_SRP Metazoan signal recognition particle RNA
GCUGGGUGUGAUGGCAUGUGCCUGUAGUCCCAGCUACUUGGGAGGCUGAGGCUGGAGGAUCUCUUGAGUCCAGGAGUCUGGGCUGUAGUGCGCUGUGCUGAUCGGGUGUCCACACUAAGUUCGGCAUGGAUAUGGUAACCUCCCGGGAGUGGGAGACCACCAGGUCCUAAGGAGUGGUGAACCGGCCCAGGUCAGAAACGGAGCAGGUCAAAACUCCGGUGCCGAUCACUAGUAGGAUAGCACCUGUGAAUAGCCACUGCACUCCAGCCUGGGCAACAUAGCAAGACCCCGUAA